UUAUACGAUUCGAUAGCUGCACGCGUUACACCGUUUUCCAACGGAUGUUUUUCUUGUACGUUAUAUUUGUUCGAUCGUUAUAUCGUUGUGUCUACACACGUCAGUGUUUAAGUACGGCUGAUCAAUCGUCACGCGUUAGCGUAGUGACGUUACGCUCCACUACGUAUUAUAUUAUGUUUACCUAAAUACAACGCGCAGAAAUAAAAGAACGACGGGAAUGUCGUUUCUCUUAAUUUUUACUCUCGGGUAUUUUCCU